rnacentral:rRNA from 1 species
UGGGGAAUAUUGCACAAUGGAGGGAACUCUGAUGCAGCGACGCCGCGUGAACGAAGAAGGCUUUCGAGUCGUAAAGUUCUUUUAUAUGGGAAGAUAAUGACGGUACCAUAAGAAAAAGCCCCGGCUAACUACGUGCCAGCAGCCGCGGUAAUACGUAGGGGGCUAGCGUUGUCCGGAAUCACUGGGCGUAAAGGGUUCGCAGGCGGAAAUGCAAGUCAGGUGUAAAAGGCAGUAGCUUAACUACUGUAAGCAUUUGAAACUGCAUAUCUUGGGAAGAGUAGAGGUAAGUGGAAUUUUUAGUGUAGCGGUGAAAUGCGUAGAUAAUAAAAAGAAUACCGGAGGCGAAGGCGACUUACUGGGCUCAUUCUGACGCUGAGGAACGAAAGCGUGGGUAGCAAACAGG